UAGCAGAUCAUUUCUGUUUCUUUAUUGCUCUGAAAACUUUCUCUCUUCCAAACUCCAUCUCUCGAUGCUUCCCUAAUCUGGUUCGCUCAGCUCAUCAUGCCAUGCUUGGGUCUCUGCAUAAUCAGGAACGCCCAUUUCCAGGUAAAAUUCCUCUCCUCUUCUUAGCGUCUCUGUUGCAAGGAUAUGUGCAAGGUUGUUUGCAGAUCUUGUUGUGUGAAGAAAUCUGAUAUUUUUUACUUCUAGUAUUUUCUGUUGUAUAUCAUAAAUAUAUGCCCCUACCAUUGAUCUGUCAUGAUCCUUUUUGUUGCAUUUCUUGAUUAUUACGAGGGAAUCUCCUUCAAAAAUGAGUGCCUGCCAACCAUGGUCAACUCCUACUUGGACUGCUUUCCGACAGGCAAUUGCUUUAGCAGCAAAAGCAGAUGGAACUCCAUUGUGGAUUUCUGAGCAGGAUAAAAGAAUUUUUCCUUCCGAGUCUCUGGCCACAACACCUGAGGCUGACCGGUUCUGAAUCUGAUUAUAUGCACUAUCAAAAUUAAUCUUUAUGGAUUCCCACUGUGGGUGUGUCCAUCUCUCAUUUCCUUUCAUUAUUUCUGAGUUUCUUUGUUCAAGAUCAGUUAACUCAAUGAUGUAAUUACUAACAAAGUUUGCAACUUCUAUUCCAUUACUAACUUUGCCUUCAUGUAUGUUUCUUUUUCUGUCUCCCCAUAUGGCCUAUAGUGCACAGCAAAAGAGUCGACUUUGAUUUGGGUUUAACUGCUCUAGCGCCCAGGUGAGCCAUUGUACAAAAUCUUCGCUUUGAUACAUCAUAAUGUUCUGAAAUGAUAACAUUUUCCAUACCUCUCUUGUAACAGCACAGUCACGGAAUAAGUGAUUCAUCGUUUCAGCUCCUUCUCCACAUCGGGGACACCUUGUGUUGACUGCUAAUUUUCGGUGUUGUAGAUUUACCUUUGUAGGCAGAUAGUUCCAUGAUAGCCGCCACAUUGUGAUAUUUAUUUUUGUUGGUAUAUUCAGGCUCCAAAGUGUUUUGUAAAAUUUUCUGUAGAGGUUUUGUAAAGCAUAAGCUCUAGGAUUAUCAGUCGAUCUCUGUAAUAGUUGAUAGGCACUUCGUACCGUGAAUUCACCCGACUUCUCCCUUCCCCAAAUAAGAAAAUCUUCAUGCGGUGAUUGUGCCAGCGGGAUCCUAAGGAUUCUUUCAGCAUCUGCUUCAGUGAAGGUAUUGUUAAUCAACUCUGCAUUCCAGCUUCUACUAUUACUGUCGAUUAACUCCUUUACUUUAGAAACGCGCAUAGAAUUAACUCCUGACGACAAUUUAAAAUUAUCAGAAUCUGGAAUCCAAGCAUCAGUAAUGGAUAUACUAGAACCCGUUCCCACCUUCCAACAGUGCCCUAUUAUCAAUAAGGCUUUGGCUGCCCAAACACUUUUCCACACAUAAGAACAAGAGUUUCCUAACUGGGAGUUUAAAAAAUCAUUUUCUGGGAAGUAUUUGGCUUUAAAAACUUGCGCAACAAGAGAACCCUGAUUAUUCAUAAUCUGCCAUCCUUGUUUAGCCAAUAAUGAGAUAUUGAAUUGCGCCAUAUUUCGGAAACCCAUACCUCCCUCCUCUUUAGGCUUACACAUAUAUUCCCAUUGGCACCAAUGUAUCCCUUUUUUGCCUUUUCCUUUCUGCCACCAGAAUCUGGCAAACAGUUUUUCUAUCUCCUCACAGAAAGAUUUUGGUAGCAAAAAACAUGUCAUCGCAUAAAUAGGGAUUGCUUGAAGUACUGCUUUAAUGAAAACUUCUUUGCCUCAUUGAGAUAAGAAACGUGUACUCCAAUUAUCUAUCUUCUGUUUAAUUUUUUCCUUUAGAUUCUGAAAGGCUUCCUUCUUCUUUCUUCCAACCAUGCUUGGCAGUCCAAGAUACUUUUCUAUAUUAGUCGAGCACCUUAUCCCCAAUUCAGCCGAGAUGCUAACUUUAUCUGCUUCCGUUGUAUUCGAACUGAAAAAAAUUGAGGACUUGUUAAAGUUCACACAUUGACCAGAACUAAUCUCAUAUUCCUUCAAAAUCUCAUUUAAGAUUCUUAUUCUGUCUUUAGUCACUUCACCAAACAACAUGCAGUCAUCUGCAAAUAAUAAGUGUGAAAUUGUCGGACCUCUUCUGUUGGCCUUUACUCCUUUUAUCAGCCCUUCCCGUGUUGCGAUUCUGAUUAAAGACGAAAGUCCUUCGCCUGCAAAUAAGAAAAAGGAAAAGACUAAGCGGAUCACCUUGUCGAAGUCCUCUGGUAGGUUUAAAAACUCUGCCUCUUUUACCAUUUAUGGAAACUACAUAAGAUACUGUAGAGAUACAUCGCAUAAUUAGUGAUACACAUUCCUCUGCAAAUCCCAUACUGACCAUAACUGCCUUCAAAAAACCCUAUUCGACUCUAUCAUAAGCUUUACUCAUAUCCAACUUUAACGCCAUGAGACCUUUUUUCCCAUUACGCUUUUGACGAAGUGUGUGUAAAACUUCAUAGGCUAUUAAGAUAUUAUCCGAAAUAAGCCUCCCAGGAACAAAAGCACUUUGAGCACUAUCAAUACACCUUCCAAUAACUGUCUGCAUACGAUUGGCAAUAGAUUUGGCUAUGAUUUUAUAUACUACUGUGCAUAAGCUAAUGGGUCUGAAAUUGGCGAGAUUGGUAGGAUUGGAAUACUUCGGAAUAAGAGCAAUCUCUGUUAAAUUUAGAUCUUCAAUAUCCUUUCCAUUGUUCAGAAACUCCAAACAAAACUUCCCAACAUCUUUACCCACAAUAUCCCAAUAUUUUUGAAAAAAUAAUGCCGAAAAACCAUCAUAACCAGGUGCUUUGGUAGGUCCCAUACUUUUUACUGCACUAAAGAUCUCUUCUUCCAAAAACUUUUCUAAAAGGGCCAUGUUAAUAUCUGAAGAAAUGUUGUUGAUACCUGAUAGAAGAUGAGAUAGGUCUCCUAUGCCAUUAGUUGAAAAGAGUUCCUGGAAAUACUUUGUUGCACUUGCAUUUAUUUCUGAUUCCUCAUAGAUCCCCUCCCCAUCAUCUGUAUCCAACCUGCUAAUUGUGUUGAUUCAUUUUCGCAUUGAGGGAUAUUUGUAAAAGAAAGCCGUAUUUUUAUCCCCUAGCUUAAGCCAGUUAGCCCGUGCUCUUUGCUCCCAGUACAUUUCUUCUUUGUCAAUCUCCAUAUUCAGAUGUAUUCUCUUGUCAAUAAUCUGCGCCAUUGUAUCAUCAUUUCGUUCAUCCUCCAAUAAUCGUUCAAGCUCUUUUGUAAGUUUUCCGGUCAAUCCCUUUUGUUUUUUCUUUAUUGAAUUGGCCCAUCUUGUCAGAUUAGUCUGUAAUCUUUCUAUCUUUUCAAAAAUAGAUCCAUUUGAUGAUUCCCAUGAACUCUUUAUCUCCUCUUCAAUCGUUUUCUCUGUAGUCCACCAUGCUUCAAAUUUAAAAACUGGGAUUCUCUUCAAAUUACUUUCAGUAUUGGUACUAAUUAAAAGAGGACAAUGAUCCGAAAAUGAAGACAUUAAGUGGUGUACAUUGCCUGUUGGAAAAAAUUCCAUCCAUUUUUCAUUUGCUACACUCCUGUCAAGUCUUUCUCUAAUAUUUGUUUCCGGUAAAUUUCCCCUUUCCCAUGUAUACCAUUUACCCGAGUAUCCCACAUCAAUAAGAGAACAUUAUUUUAGAACUUCAUGGAACACUUCCAUCCUUUUCUCCUCCCUCGGUUGACCUCCCAUUUUUUCAAAGGAAUAAGCAAUUUCAUUGAAAUCUCCACUUACCAACCAAGGAUGCUCUUGUUCCUGUCCUAAAUAUCUUAAUAAAUCCCAUGAAACAUUUUUAUUCUAUGAGUAAGGGGAUCCAUAAAAGCUGGUGAAUCUCCACUCUUUACUAGCUCCUUCUUCGAUCAGCACAUCAAUAUGGUUGGUUGAGAAAGUUUUGAGCUCAACUUGAACCGCCUCUUUCCAUGCUAGGCAAAUGCCUUCCCGCGAACCUGUUGCAUCUACAUCUAUCCCAUUCAUAAACCCACACCUCCUCCUAAUUUUCUCCAUUUGCUUUCCACUAACCUUAGUCUCCAUAAGGAAGACCAAUUGAGGAUUAUUUUGCUUCAAUAAAAACCGAAGCCUUCUCACUGCCCGUGGACUCCUCAAUCCACAGACAUUCCAACAUAUGAUUUUCAUUGCGACCGGUCGACUUGCCUUUUGGCAGCCGCCGAUUCAUUUUGGUUAGGUGAUUCAACUGGAAAAUUGAUUUUCGUCUCCUGUGUUAAGUAUUGAUCGCCAAAUUUCAUCCUUUUAAUUGCUCCUUCCUAUUUCCAUUUACACCGUAAUCCUCCUGUACCAACUCUUUCCAUUUUCGUUUCUGCAGCUUACUCUCUGCCUCAUACUGUCUCAUCACUUCUAUUUGUUCAACUCUUUUCCACCUAGCUUCCCUGCCCUGCUUCAAUAUAUUUGCGUUUCUAUUUUUUGUGGUUUUUCCAUUUGUUUCUUCAUUCUGUUGUAUCUGUAAACCUGCUUCUAAAGUUUCCAGCCAAGCAUCUUCCUGUACUCCUUCCAUCAUAUCGCUCAUUUGUUCACUGUUUACAACUCCUAUAUACGAACAUUGCACUUGUGAUUUUUUUGAUAAAGCAUUAAACUUCAGACUCUCCUUCCCAAUCAAAUUUAAUUCUGCUUUUAAUGCCAAAGAGUAAGGUGGAUCCUCUCUAAUUCUAAUUUUCUCCGCAGGUGUAAUGCUUGUACAGUCCUGGAGACCAUGCCCCAGUUUUCCACAUCCAAAACAGAAGGUUGGCAAUUUUUCAUACUUGAAAGGGAUCCAGCAUUUAUUCCCAUUCCCUGUUGACACAAAUAUACCUCUACGAAGUGGUUUUUGCACAUUGAGCUGUAUUCUAAGGCGACAAAACUCACCGCUAAUUUCAGAUCUGAUCACUCCACCAAACGUGACCCCUACAGCAUGCAGAAGAUCCUUUUUAUCAAACUCUGGUAAACAGGGUCCAAUUUUGAUCCAAAACGGAGAUGAAACAAGCGUAAUUUGGUCUCUCAUUGUCGGCUUACAAAUCCGGUCAAAAAUAAUUAAAUUCUUCCUAAACAACCAUGGUUGGCCUUCCAUCACAGAUUCUAAAUCAUCCUCUGAUUCAAACGUUAUCAAAAAAAGAUUUUGCCCCACCAAUUGAAUCUCAAACUUUUCCUUUGUUUUCCAGAUACUUUUCAUCUGUGCUUUAAAACUAUCAUGAUUAUAAGAUUUAUUUGUCCAAACAGAACAGAUCAGAGAAGGUUUACCGUUUGGCUCCACCAUCGAGCUUUUGACCGAUAGUUGAGUAAGUUCCUCUUCUAAUAGGGAGAUCUCGUCUCUCCCAACCCCGUUGAUGCCACCAC
rnacentral:lncRNA from 1 species